GUGGGGAAUAUUGGACAAUGGGCGAAAGCCUGAUCCAGCCAUGCCGCGUGUGUGAAGAAGGUCUUCGGAUUGUAAAGCACUUUAAGUUGGGAGGAAGGGCAGUAAGUUAAUACCUUGCUGUUUUGACGUUACCGACAGAAUAAGCACCGGCUAACUUCGUGCCAGCAGCCGCGGUAAUACGAAGGGUGCAAGCGUUAAUCGGAAUUACUGGGCGUAAAGUGCGCGUAGGUGGUUUUGUAAGUUGGAGGUGAAAUCCCCGGGCUCAACCUGGGAACUGCCUCCAAAACUGCAUGACUAGAGUACGGUAGAGGGUAGUGGAAUUUCCUGUGUAGCGGUGAAAUGCGUAGAUAUAGGAAGGAACACCAGUGGCGAAGGCGACUACCUGGACUGAUACUGACACUGAGGUGCGAAAGCGUGGGGAGCAAACAGGAUUAGAAACCCCGGUAGUCC
rnacentral:rRNA from 1 species